GAAGUCGGACGCUUAACCGACUGAGCCACCCAGGCACCCCCCUAUACAUUAAUUUUUUAGUAUGCUCUAGGCCCAAGAAUUCACGGGGCUUGAACUCACGACCCUGAGAUCGAGUCGCAUGUUCUACCGACUGAGCCAGCCGGGUGCCCCCAUCUUAGCAGUAUUCUUCCAAUCCACAGGUAUGGAACGUCUUUCCAUUUGGAGCAAGUGUGUUUGGGGAACAUCAAGGGUGCGGCCAAGCGGUCACUUGAUAUCAUCAAGGCUGUCACUCCCUUCGCCGGCCCAGAGUGGGAGGGCUGGUGAUGGUGGGGUGCAGAUCAGCACGGGAGGGGCUGCCGGCAUGGGACCUGGGUGUAACUGCCGGCCCAGCCGUACCUCGCAGGCUCCACUCCCUUCCUGCGCUCCUCGUGACACAGGAUGAACUGUCUCCAUCUCCUCCCCGCUCAACUGGGCUGGAAGGGCAGAGGAUAACAAAGGAUCUAUAACCCCCUGAGUACUCUUCCGAAAAGUGCAGACCCGGGUCAACCUACUUGUGCUUAGGCUCUUUGUUAAGGAGGCGGUUGGAGUGGAAGCUUCCAGUCUCUUUUAUCUGUGCUUCCCCUGGGGUUGCCAGCUCACAGCGACUAGUAACAGGCAGGAGAAGGAGCCAAGCAUCCAACCCUUCCAACUACCCCAUCGUCUCUACGUAGUAUCAGAACCUCCAUUUUAUUCAGCGUGGCCGUGUGCUCAGCCAAAAGAAUAUGUACCCCAGCCUUCCCUGCAGCAAGAGAGAGACAGAGCAUGAAUGGCGGAGGGGCAGAGAGAGAGGGAGACACAGA